GAGAGUAAUCCCAGUCGUGUCUGAGGCCAGGGUUGUUUUCUGGAAGAUGUUGGAGUCUUUGCUUUGGGAGAUACAGUGAAGGAGUUCUAGCAUCUCCGGGGUCAAAACGGAUCCUGGGAUCAGCAGACAGUUAGGAUCAACACAGGGAAUCUACUGAACUAUAGUGGUGACCAGGGUGCCAGACAGCAGAGCUCACUUUUUACCACAUAAUCUGUGUUCAAUCUGACCUGCUCAGCUUCGCUUAGUGGCCAAGAAUGAAUGAGGAGCAGAUUCCAUUAGCUGUAAGUAACCCCUGAUGGCUGGAUGAGCUCAGCCUUGGUAAGAGACCCCUGGGCAGAUCCAGAAGCUGCUGGAUGGAUCACAUACGAACAAAAGAAACAUUUUAACGGGCCAAGCAGCAAUUUGCACAAGGUGUUCAACAGACCGCUCAACAAGAACGCUCUGGACUGGAGGCUAAAUAAAGUACAGAUGCUGGGCUGGAGCUCCCAACAGUGACACUUGGUUCUCAUCAACAAUCACCUGCUGCAAUACCUAAACCCUGACUCUUCUCCUAGUUGCUGAUUUCCGCCAACAAUGCUACAUCCAGCAUUACAUCGGACUUCCACCAGAUCCUAGC